CUAAACCUCACACAGGAAAGGAGUCUCUCUAAGUCUGAAGUGGCUGAAUAGACUACAAUUCCAUUUUGAACGCCUGACUUAGACAAAUACACUGUGUUCGUAAGUCAGACCACACUAUCAAAUUGAGAACCUUCCCAGCACUUCAGCUGAAGGCAGAAGGAGUUUUUUGGGAACAAAGAGAGAGAAGGAACACUAGGGUAAUUUUCUGUAACUGGAAUGGAAGCAGAGUGCUGGACUUCACUCAACAUUUUCAGCAGUAUGGUAUGUAAGGACUCAGCACCAGGCUCUCAUUAUUUAUAUAAUAAAACCAAGAAAGGCUGAAAAAUCA